GAGAAAGGAUACGAGGAAAUAAAAGGGGCAAGUGCCCGGAACCUCGAAAGAAAAGAAAAAGUGAGACGAGAGGUAAAAAUGGACAAGUGUCCGACAGUAGAAUUAGGGGUACAAGAUACCCACCUGAGAGGAAAGAAAAAGAAAAUAUAGAGCAUCUCAUUCUCCUCAAAAGUUUCAAAAGAGCAAGAAAGGUAUGUAUCCCCUCAAAAGAGCAAAAGUAGAAUUAGACUUUCACCAUUGUUAUCACCAUCAUCACCAUACACCAUUUAUUCGCCACACAUGCACAUCUUGAUUUGACUUAUUGGCUUGUUUCUCUGGAUCCAUGGUUUGACUAUGCAAUAAAUGUCUUGUAAGUAUGUAUACUUUAUCUCCCACCUAUGAGCUCC
rnacentral:lncRNA from 1 species